UAUUAAUUAUUUUUUCUUAAUUAAAACACUAUUUGUUUUUUAUUUGAGAUGGGCCUCACAUUUCUUGGGAUUUGUAAGGGAAAGGUUAGUGGAUACUGAAUAAAUUGCAUUUUCCAUUCGGUGAGGGCUAUUAAUGAAAUAUGACGCUAAGUUGAUUAGUCUAAGAAAGAGCAAUACUUAUUUUAAUCCAAUACUUGUAUGUAAGUGUCCAAUGUACAAUACAUACUCUAUUUAGCAAAUGUGCAAGCAGAGGAAUCAGAUACUAAAUUCUGUCUGUAAUUCAAUAGGAACUAGUUCAUGGUUUUGCAUGUAAAGAGCAGAAGAAGUGGUGAGAACUGUUACCAAUACACAGUGGCAAAUUUAAACACCUCUAAAGCUUUUUCUAUGGUAUGAUUGUAGAUGUGCAGUCUCUAUGCUUGCUUGCUUUCAUGCUACAUUGCUGUGCUCAAUUUAAUUAAAUACUGCUUGGGACCAUGGUUUUAUUUUUGUUGUAUGUGCACACCACAUGGAUUUAUACUUUACUUUUUUUUGGUGGGGGUGGGGGGUCUUUUGCAUCUUUAUCAUAUUUUUCCCCAUUUCUAUUCACUCCUCAUCUUAGGAUUUCACAUCCUCUGAAGUGCGAGUGUAAUCACUGCAAGUUCAUCCACUGCUGCUACUUGCGAAUGCCUGCAACGUGCACAAGGCUCAGACAUUAUGGGGACAACUCAGAUUCUGCCUGGCAUUUUGCAGAAGCAUUGCUGUAUUUUACCAGACAGGAAUACAGAAUAGGACUUGAAAAUCACUGAAAGAAGUGAAAAAUUGGAUAUUUAUUUCAAACAGUAAGUUGACUCCUGUGUUUAAGUGAUCUGUUUUCAGGUGAAGUAGGUUUACAAGUUACAUACUAUUUUUGGCUAUUAUCUUUGUAGGAAAUUGCUAACAGAUCUUGCUUUAUAAAGUUGAAUAUGUUAACU
rnacentral:lncRNA from 1 species